ensembl:lncRNA
GCAUUUUGUUUGGGUUUUCAGCUACUAGAUUCACCAUGUUCUAAUGAAACAUGAUUUCUGGUCUUUUGUCAGAGCUCUGGGGGUUUGUUGGUCCUUUUGGGUUUUGCGUUUCUUUUGUUUUCAGCUCAGUUUGUUUUGUUUGAAUUUUUGUUGGGAAGAGGUUGUUUAUCUGAUUUAUUGGACUGGGGUGUUGCUCGAGGAGGAUUUUGCCAUGCCAGUGUCUUUUCCCUUUUUCCAAAUUGCAGUUCCCACCAGUAUGUUAUUUCAGUCUUAACUGAAGAUUUUCUCUCUGGCCAAAGAGAAUGUGAUUUAUGUUAUCUGCUCCGUGACAUAAGAAAUUGUGCAUUGUGACCCUGGGAUAGGACUGUGCAGUGGUAGCAGUGGGACAGCGAUUCUGGCAGGAGAUGGGAGCAAACAGAGAGGCCGUGUCUCUUCAGACCUGCUCACAGGCACCAACUUUUCCACUUAGGUUUGCCCCCCAAGGUGAAAACUUAGGGAAGGAGCGCUCAGGAGAGCACGGUGCCUCCCUGAGCAUGAAGAGGAGUGAGUGCUUCAACCUUACGCGAUGGAGCCGCCAUCCUGCGUACCUGCCAGCACUGAAAUGCACCCCAACCAAGGACCAGCAGAACAUCCCUGCUGCUGCACUCACAGGAGCUCCAGCCCAACCGCACCAACAUGGACAGCUGCUUGUCACCCCGAGACAAGUUCAGAGAUAAGCACAGGAGGUUCUCAAUUUCAUGGAAGCCAGCUCAGACUAAAAGGCAGCCCCUUCAUUUCAAGAAACCUCAUUUUUCAUUUGUAAAACACUUUCAUUCAGAAAAAAAAUAAUAAGUGGGGGGGGUUGGAAGGGAAGCAGAGUGCUACCUCUCCCCAGCCAUAGCAAAUACACCUGCAGAGCAAUUUCCAUUCUUUGAAAAGAAGUUUUAAAACACAUGUUUUAAUGGGGCACCAGCAACUCCAGCAGUUGCCUGUUGCUUCCUAACUCCAUUUGCGUGUAAUGUUGUCAAAUGACAACUGUUUGGGCUGGAAUAUUCCAGGUUGGAGUCUGCCCCAGUACAUUAUUUUCUGCCUGGAAAUUUUAAGUGCUAAUCACUUAUCUGGAAGAAAAUAAGCUCUUUUUUCCCCCAUGCUUCAAGAAAUUUGGUGACCUUUCUUUUCGUGCCCCCAGGCUUUGGAAAAAGGAAUUGAAAUGUGACAGGUUUUUGGCUUAUGUGUCAGGAACGUGCUGCUUGCCUGCAAAAAAAAGCUGCAUCCAAUUUUUGCCAAGUUAUAAGCCUCUGAAGAGAAAAUCAUCUUACGAGUGCUCACUAAAGCUGGACUGAUUAAAAAAAAAUCCUCUAGAAAUUCUUCCUGUCUUUUUUUCUGGUUUCACAGCUCC